CCUACGGGUGGCUGCAGUGGGGAAUAGUGCACAAUGGGGGAAACCCUGAUGCAGCGACGCCGCGUGAGUGAAGAAGUAUUUCGGUAUGUAAAGCUCUAUCAGCAGGGAAGAAAAUGACGGUACCUGAGUAAGAAGCCCCGGCGAACUACGUGCCAGCAGCCGCGGUAAGACGUAGGGGGCAAGCGUUAGCCGGAUUUACUGGGGGGAAAGGGAGCGUAGACGGCAGCACAAGUCGGGAGUGAAAUGCCGGGGCUUAACCCCGGAACUGCUUUGGAAACGGUGCAGCUAGAGUGCAGGAGAGUUCAGUGGUCUUCCUCUUGUUGCCGUGCACUUCGUUGAUCUUAGGAGGCACCCCAGUGGCGCAUGCGGCUUACUGGACUGUACCUGCCGUUGAGGCUCGACAGCGUGGGGAGCAACCAGGAUUAGCUACCCGAGUAGUC
rnacentral:rRNA from 1 species